GCAAGUCGAGCGAGAAAGCACUUCGGUGCGAGUACAGCGGCGGACGGGUGAGUAACGCGUAGGAAUCUACCCAGUAGUGGGGGACAACAUGGUGAAAACCAUGCUAAUACCGCAUACGCCCUAAGGGGGAAAGCGGGGGCCAUUAGGCCUCGCGCUAUUGGAUGAGCCUGCGUCGGAUUAGCUAGUUGGUGGGGUAAAGGCCCACCAAGGCGACGAUCCGUAGCUGGUCUGAGAGGACGAUC
rnacentral:rRNA from 1 species